rnacentral:rRNA from 1 species
AUUGAACGCUGGCGGCAGGCCUAACACAUGCAAGUCGAACGAGUGGCGGCCGGGUGAGUAAUGUCUGGGAAACUGCCUGAUGGUGGGGGAUAACUACUGGAAACGGUAGCUAAUACCGCAUACCAUCAGAUGUGCCCAGAUGGGCUUAGCUAGUUGGUGGGGUAACGGCUCACCAAGGCGACGAUCCCUAGGUGGUCUGAGAGGUUGACCAGCCAAACUGGAAAGGUGACACGGUCUAGAGGCCGAAGUCAGGACGGAGUGGGGAAUAGUGCACAACGGGCGCAAGACUGAUGCAGCGACGCCGUGUGUAUGAAGAAGGCCAUCGGGUUGUAAAGUACUUUCAGCGGGGAGGCGUUACACGCAGAAGAAGCACCGGCUAACUCUGUGCCAGCAGCCGCGGUAAUAC